GAAGUCAGACGCUCAACCGACUGAGCCAUCCAGGCGCCCCAAAGUGUUUUUAAUUAAACGAUGCAAAAGAACUAAGGCAAGAGCUCCUCACCAUGACAUUCAAGAUCUUUCACCUCUGGUCUCACACCCUUUGGAAAUUUCAUCUCUUUGCAGUCCUGUGCACACACAAAUCCAUGUGGGCCAGGCGGCCUCUCUGACUCGCAGCUGUGCUCAUUUCUUCAUUUGCUCACAUCCUCCCACCCCCCCAAUCUGCCUGUCGAACUUGCAUUGAUUCUUAAAGCUGGUAAACAGCACCACGGCGUAGCACAGAUCACAGACGCCAGGAGAAUUUGUCCGAGUAGUGAAGGUUCUUGUUGAUGACCAUCCGAGGAAGAAAUCACUCCUAGGACAAAGGCAUGAGAAGACAGAGAGAGAGGGAACAACAGGUCUAGAAGAGGAGAGCUGUGGAGAUCGGAACUGGCCUUGGAGGUUUCAACCAGGAACCUGGCAACAAUUCUGGGCACUCCCAAAUUAUUAUAAUUGUUAUUAUAGCUUGAGAACAAAUCCCACUUAGUUUCCUGAGAGCCUUUGUGUCUGGAAUCCACCAUGACACUGCUCUGUCCCCUGGCCUCAUGUAGAACAAUAGAAUGCGUCUUUGCCUUAACAAUGCUGUGCAUCCUGUGUGCUUUUGAAGACAGCUGGGAAGGAGAGGCAAAUGUGCAGAGGUAAGGAACCUUCUGGAAGAGAAGAAUAAAUAUUUGGAUAGCUUGUCUUUUUGAAGAUCAGUACUGAUAGAGCAUCUCCGAGGAAGUAAUACACUAUCUCAGAUGCCGCAGAGAACCCCCUACUCCCCCAGGAGAAAGUCUAAAAUGGGUAACCAAAGCUCAAACACCAAAAACUGAACUGUGUGGGGAGAGAGCGCCUCUAGACACAGAAUGUGGCUGAGGCUAAAAUCCUCUUCCCGAGCCACUGGGACCGUGCGUUGAGAAUCGGGGUCUUGCAUUAAGAACAGGCUACAGAAUUUUGCUACAGUUCAUUCAGGCUUAUGUUGCACUGAAAAGAGUUUCACACCAGGAACGCCUCCCCUCCAUCCCUUUCCACCUGGAGAAGUUCCUGCAGGAACUACAGAACACUGAGAGGCAGAGACCUGAGGGAACAGUGUUCUCAGGUGGGGGGAACAGAGCACACUAAUACCCA